rnacentral:rRNA from 1 species
UACGUAGGGCGCAAGCGUUAUCCGGAAUUAUUGGGCGUAAAGAGCUCGUAGGCGGUUUGUCGCGUCUGCCGUGAAAGUCCGGGGCUCAACUCCGGAUCUGCGGUGGGUACGGGCAGACUAGAGUGAUGUAGGGGAGACUGGAAUUCCUGGUGUAGCGGUGAAAUGCGCAGAUAUCAGGAAGAACACCAAUGGUGAAAGCAGCUUUCUGGGACGGUACUGACGCUGAGACGCGAAAGCGUGGGGAGCGAACAGG